GAUGAACGCUGGCGGCGUGCUUAACACAUGCAAGUCGAGCGAAGCGCUUUGGUUAGAUUCUUCGGAUGAAGACCUUUGUGACUGAGCGGCGGACGGGUGAGUAACGCGUGGGUAACCUGCCUCAUACAGGGGGAUAACAGUUAGAAAUGACUGCUAAUACCGCAUAAGACCGCAGUACCGCAUGGUACAGGGGUAAAAACUCCGGUGGUAUGAGAUGGACCCGCGUUGGAUUAGCUAGUUGGCAGGGUAACGGCCUACCAAGGCGACGAUCCAUAGCCGGCCUGAGAGGGUGGACGGCCACAUUGGGACUGAGACACGGGCCCAGACUCCUACGGGAGGCAGCAGUUUCGAAUCAUUCACAAUGGGGGCAACCCUGAUGGUGCGACGUCGCGU
rnacentral:rRNA from 1 species